rnacentral:rRNA from 1 species
UAAAGGUCGAAAGGGGAGAUUCAGUAUCCGUUCCUCGCGGCCGCGCCCCGUCGCGGGUACACCUCGGGUGGCACCUCGGUGCCGCCCGGGCCCGCGUCGGGGUCCUCGCGCGCCGGAGGCGGAGCGCACUUCUCCCCGAGUAGGACGCCGCGACCCGCUGGGUGUCUGCCUGAGGCCCGGGUGCGAGUCCGGACCGCGGUUCGCCGCGGCCCGGAGCCCCGGCUUCGCCCGGCAGACCGCCCGGCGGUCUCGAAGUAUCGGAACAGGCCCGCGCUACCCCAGGCGCGCUCGUGCCGCUUGCGAGCGUCCGACGGGUCCCCCGGUAGGCGAACCCCGUUCGCCCCGGGUCCGUCGGCGCUGUCGGCUCGCGGACUUCUCGAGCAGUCGGCCUCCUCCGGUCUGCGGCGCUCGCAGUUGGGCGGCCCACCCGACCCGUCUUGAAACACGGACCAAGGAGUCUAACAUGUGCGCGAGUCAUUGGGUGCCAGCGAAACCCAAGGGCGCAUUGAAAGAGAAGGCGGGCCUUCGUGCCCGCCGAGGGAGGAUGGGGCGUCGCUCGCGUCGCCUCCGCACUCCCGGGGCGUCUCGUCCUAGCGCCGCUCGUCGGCGUAAGGUGAGGUGCACCAAGAGCGCACACGUUGGGACCCGAAAGAUGGUGAACUAUGCCUGGCCAGGACGAAGUCAGGGGAAACCCUGAUGGAGGUCCGUAGCGAUUCUGACGUGC